CACCGCAUCCAACAAACAGUUCCGUCCUUCCCCCCACAAGCUAGGGGGAGUUAUAUCUUGAGUGUUCCAUCGUCUUUGAUUGUGUCCAAUGCCACCGUUUCCGUAGUGCUAGGUGCAUGGUAGCUAACAACGUUAGCUCUAAGUGAAUGGGGAGAGCUACGUGUUGAAAUCAGUGUCCCAAACAUCUGAGGAAUAUUACCUAAAGGCUUUGCCAUGAUAAAUUGACCAGCUUUCAACCACAGCUGCACACCUUAACCUCAGAGGCCAGGACAUCCAGGGACAGUGUGAACAUACACAUCUUUAAAUGGGAUGCAAGACGAACUAUAGACGACCGAUAGCUUAAACUUGUGCAUCAAUGGAUGAGGAAACGCUUGAAAGCCCAAUCCAGGGCACAGAGACUGUGGAAGAAGAUGCAGGACAAAACGCAGAGAAGAACAGCUGUAAAGGAGACACUGCAGAAGAGGAUGUAGGACAAAGGUCAGAGAAGAAGAGCAGUGACAUAGAUGAGACAUAUGAACCAGCCCCAGAAUCCUCAGAUGGUGUAAAUGCAAUAGGAAGCCCCAGCUCUGGUCCCAUGAAAGAAAAAGCAACAGAGGAGAAAGAGGAGGCGAAGUCUUCUGGUGGUGAGCCUCCUGUUGACUGGUUUGAGCCACUUGAAGAUGAUGACGACGAUGCUGAAAGCAAUGAUAGAAAUGAUCCAGAGGAAGAGAGUCUGGCAGGAGAAAGUGAAAGGAGCGAGAGUGUGGGUGGCAGUGAGAGCACCUUCAAAAAGAUAUAUCAGCUUCAUGCACCCCGUCGUAAACGAUCGCACCCUGAUGAGGGAUGGGUUGAAUGCCCUGCACUGGGGGAGGGCUGGAAGCGCAAAGAGGUCGUUCGGCGCUCAGGAUCUAGUAUUGGCCAAAAGGAUGUAUAUUACUUAAGUCCUCGUGGUGAUCGAGUGAGAAGCAGAGUAGAGCUGAUUUCAGUGCUGGAAGGACAGGACUUGUCUAACUUUGAGUACAAGACGGGCAAAUUCUACGAUGGCGAAACACCGCUCCCAAAAAUUCGAAGCAGAAAGAGAAAGGUCCGCGAGCGAUCGUCCUCGGAGUCCAGCUGGAUGGAGAGGGGAGAGGGGGCAGACACUCCUGACUCCCACCACAGACUAACCCCAAGCCUCGGGUCUAAAAACGCCAACUCCAAUCAGUCAAAUGCCCCCUUGAACAGUACAGUGGGAUCGCCCAAUCAAGGGUCUCACAGUGAGGAUCCACCUGCCGAGGAUAAAAUUAAACUCCCUGGUCCGUCAUCAUCUCAGCCACGUCCGCUCCCUUCCAUAAAUGGAGAGAUCGGGUCAGAGGACAGCAUACUGAUCUGUGCCAGAUGUGGCAUUUCCUUCACAGGCACGUGGUACGACAAACAAAGAAAGAGGCCCUGCUGUCCCUCCUGUUGGGCAGCGUCAAAGACAAAAGAACACCCAAUGAUUCGCUUCAGAAAGUGGAUUCCUUGUGGUCAGUGUGUGGGAUGUCAUAACACCGUCAAUUGUGGGCAGUGUGCCAAUUGCAAACAUGGGCUGCAGAGCCCAGAAUCCCGGAGACGCAUAUGCCGAAAACGCAAAUGUAUAUGUCCCAUUCGCAAGGGCCCUGGAAGUGGAGGCUUCAUACAGCAGAGGCCUUACAGUGACGUUUCGGAAACAUUUGACGACAGCAUGAGUUUCCAGGGUGAAGUUACAGAUUCACAGCACCCCAGUCUCAAAAGCAGUGAUACGGAGAACUUCUCAGUCAAUGUGGAUGUUGAUGAUGAGGAUGAAUUGUCAACUGAUGACGAUGAUGAUUGGCACAAAAAGCGGAAGCGACGUUCCUGUGGAGAAUGCAAGGCCUGUCUCUGCAGGAAAGACUGUGGCACGUGUGAUUUCUGUAUAGACAAGCCCAAGUUCGGAGGCAGCAACAAGAAAAGGCAGAAAUGUCGUUUACGGCAGUGUCAGAGGCAGGCAAUGAGGCAUUUGCUGCCCUUCCAGAUGGGACAAGGUGACUACGGACCAGAUGGCCCGCUACCGCCAGGCCGGCCUAGACCUCACUACACAUACAGUCGCAAGUUAGGUUUAAAGAAAAUCAAAGAGUCUCAGAUGGGCUAUGAUUUAAGCGACAAUGAAGAUGAUGACAGUAAUUUACAACCAAUUAGUUGGAGCUUGUCACCUGUGAAGUCUAGCAAAAACUUUUUUGACACGAAUGUGAGAAACCACCAAUCAUCUAUGCAGCAGUUGAAUGAUUCCGAGUUUGGAGUGCGGAAUGGACUGUCAGACGGCGUCCCUCACAUCAGCAACCACAGCAACCCCCACCAAGAGCAGCAAAACAGAUGGGAUGCAGAGAGAGCACAAAGUGGCAGAGAAGCUACAAAGCAAGUUGUUGAAGAAGAGAAAGAUGAGUUGCCCAUGAUUACACAGAUCUUCAGUUUGGCUGAUAACCCAGUUGGGACUGGUGCAGAUGCAGAAAACCACCUCAUGAAACUACUAGACUCUUUACGCUCCUCUGUACUGCCCAUAUUGUGGUAUGCUAUAAUGGUGGAGGGCCCGCAGCUGCAGCUCAUCCAGUGUUCUAAGCAGUCCAGCAUGACCGACACCAUGGUGCUAAUCGACCCGGGCUUCUUCUAUCAGGUCACCGUCCAAAAGCAACCGCUGCUCCCCACCCACCCGCUGUACGACUGCUACCCAGCACGUCUAACCUCGGUGACUGAGGUGGUUAAUUUGCUUUUUGGGUCUGGAGAAGUACUCUGUGUGCCAGGGGGAUGCCUCCCAAAGAACCAUUACAUUAUAAAGACCCCAUCAUACUGGAACGGUCAUCAACAUGUGAUUUCCUGGUUAAGAAGAAUGUGGGCAUUUGUAAUAACUGCAGAGCACUUCAACUUUAACGUCAUCACAGACAGAAAUGGAAAAUAAAUGUGAGCAGAGUGGAGACCACUGGUUUUCUAGUGACACUUUGUGCAAUUUUAUUUUAUUUUUUGGUGAUGAUGUAUAUCAAAACUUUACAGACUUACCUCUGGACUGUAAAUGGUUUAUUUUAAGAAUCACCAAAGGCAUUUCAGGAGUUGUGACAUUAUAAUCCAGGCGUGUUUCUUCUCAGACGUUUUAUUAUGUAGGUGUAGGGCUUUUCUACUUGACUGUUAUGUGUCUUGGCUUUGGCAGUGUGCUGAAGUCAGCCCUCUGUGUGGUUAGUGUGCUGUUGGUUGAUUCACACUCUUACUUGAGGAAUAUCCCUCACCCUCCUUACCACUAUUACACAUUUUAGUAGCCCUUUCAGACAACUGUACUACUAGAAAAUUAGCCCACGUGUUUGAUUCCCAGCAUUAACACUGUUGUCAUGCUACCGGGUUCGUUCAUACUAUAUACAACAAAGUUAAUAGAAGAUUUGUUUUGGUAAAAACAAGUGUGCACCUCAACUGCUUUCUUUUUUAAUUUAAUAAUAUAUUCAUUAGUGUCAUCACUGUUGUCACUAACACUCCAUUUAUUAGCACUCCAUUUAUUUGCAUUUUUGCAUUUGCUCCCAGUGAUGAUACUAAGGCUGGAAAAAUGUGAGGGAAUUAGAAAGGGUACCCGGUGGCAAAUCAGAUGUGUUGAUCCAUCUGAUGUGGUGACCACUUGGGAAAUAAGGGAGCUGCCAAAGGUACCUUUCUAUUAGAACUAGUUAUUUAAAUUGAAUUAUGUGAUUAUUUCAAAUUCAUGACCAUUCAUACUGGAUUGUAAUGAUGACAUGUUGAUUCUGGGCUGAAAUUACAAGCAUUUUUUAAAUAUCUUAAUCUGAUUGCAAAGUAGACUAUCAUUUGAUUAGCUCUCCCACUGAAGGCAGAAUGUGCUCCUAGCAUCAGCAUGUGUGGUGUGAUGAAUUUCAUACGACCUUUAAAAAUGCAUUGAAGUUGUCCCAUGACAGGAAAAAAAGUACAAUUACCUUUUGAGGUUUGUUCUCAUAAAUAACUAACUUUAAUCUCAAAACUUUUUUUUUUUAAACAGCUGUUGGGUAGGUCAGCUUUUUUGUAAACCUAACCUACCCUCCUUUUUUGCUUUCAUAGGGUGAGUUUUUGUUAUCAUAUUGCAUCAGAAAUAUCUGAAAAGUGGGAAAUAUAUCAUCACAAACUGACCUAGUAUGGAUAUUAUGCUAAAUUUGUAUUCACCCCAUUACUAUGACAGUCUAAAGUCAUUUGAGCAGAACCCACAAGCUAUAAGUAGGAGCAAGCCACUGUUUUAAAAAAUAUCCAAGACAUCUGAGAUAGUAGUGAUUUUCCAGAACAUACAGUGACAUUACUGGUCAAAUAUUUAAUUGAAUAUUCCCCAAAUAAAGAGACAGUGUGGAUGGUUAUGCAAAGUAAGUAUAAGUAACACUUAAAAAAAGGUACCUUUGUGUAAUCCUAUGUUGGGGUUGUUGUACUUGUAAUUUCUCUCAAUUUUAGCCCAAUUUGAUGUCUAGUGAGAAUAUUUCACACUAUAUCUACUGAAAACUUUAUUCAAUGACCCGGUAUUUAGACUUGACACUAAAAACAUUGUAACACCUUUUAAGAUCUCAAACAAAACAAAAAAAACAGAUGAAGAUGAAUGUAGUUAAACAUUCCUCACAAAUCUCAAGCUAAAACCCAGCGACAGGAUUACAGUUGUUGUGACUGGCACCAUGUUAGCUGAGAACAGUAAACUUUCCUUAAAGGUUUAGUUUCGGUUUUUCGAGGUUUUUAUUGUUUUUAGAACAACAUGCUCUUGUCAAAGUGAUGAUGUAGCAACAAUCAUCGUACAGAUGACUCUGAAAUAAUAAUAUCUGAAAUAAUAAUAAGCACUUAAUGAGUCUUCUUCUGUCUCUGUUCUCGAGUAGUAUAACACUUGGCCUUUAAUUGUAUUUUCAGCCAUAUAAUGUGUUUUGUUUUUGUUUUUUAAGUGUAUAAUAAUUCAGUUUUUACCCCCCAUUACAAACAACCUCCUGCAAGUUUUAACAAUGUGAAAUUUUAUGCAUUCUUGAUGUGAUUUUUUUUUUAAAUGUUGUUUUCCUCAAGUAAUUGUGCAUAUGUUGAAAUAUUUGGGAACAGUGGGUUAUUCCUUUAAAAAAUAUUGUUAUUUAGUCUUUGAAUUAAAACAUAUUUGAAGAACUGA